ACACUGGCUUGAUUUACUGUAGCUUUGUAGUAAGUUUUGAAACUAGGAAGUGUGACUACUCCAUCUUUGUUCUUCUUUUUCAAGAUUGUUUGGCUCUUCUGGGCCCAUUGCACUUAACACCUAAAUUUUAGGAUCAACUUUGAUUUUUGCAAAAAAAAGGUAACUGGGAUUUUGAAAGGUAUUGUGCUGACUCUGUAAAUCAGUCUGGGAGAUAUUGCAUUUUAACAAUAUCAAUUGUUCCAAUCCAUGAAUAUGCACUGUCUUAACACUUAUUUAGAUCUUUAAUUUUUUUCAACAAAAUUUUAUACUUUUCAAUUUAAAAGUCUUGCAUUUUUUUGUUACAUAUUACUAAGUAUUUUAUUCUUUUAGAGAGUGGGAUGGGAAUAGGGCAAGUGAAAACACCACAAAACUCACUGUUUUCACAGAGAUUUAGUCAUUUUUAUUGAAUAAAUGCUCUUCCAAUUGUUGUAAAUUGUUAAUUUGCAAAGUUUUGAAACAACCAUUCUUGCCAGUGUUCUCACUUCUUUCAUGGAGGAGUGGAUUUUCUGAAUUUUUUCUGACAUACCAGAAAUCAGAACUGUCUAUUAUUUAUACCACUGUCUUAUUUUAGUUAUCUGCCUGGUCUCCGAGGACAUUUGAGACAUCAAGGCAGGUGACUCAAACAGAGAUGUAUGACACAGAAGUUCAUCAGGUCACCAGGCAUCGUCAUGGCCAACGAGGUUAUAUUAACAGAUAUAUUGGGUUAAAGUUACCAAUAUGGAGGCCACAGGUAGGGUAGUGUCAAGGAGUCAUACUAGGAGUUGUUCCUCAGUGAACUGAAAGUCAAAGAGCCAUGAAGUGGCCAAUAAUCAGGUUUGUUUCUUGAUAGAGGCUCAAACCAAGAGGAAUAUCAUUACACCCCAAAUCUAGGAGAGACAAAUGCAUCUCAAAUGUCAACAUUAAUCAAUUCAUAGUUGUGACCUGGAGCUCGGUGUUGAGAAGACUCUAAUCACAUGUGGGCUUAGUGCCAAUCACUGAAUCAAUCAAUCAGAUCAACUAGAAAAUAAUGGCCACUCAAAUAGGGUGAAAGAGGAGAUUAAAGGGAUUAUUUAGGGAACUAUGGACAGAGUUAAAGGAAGUUAAUUAGGAGGGUCUUGUACUAUAGGCCAGAAAUAGUGAUUGCUGCUCUGAAGCCUGAACAACCUUCAUUCAGCAGGCUUGAUUAAAGAAAUGAGGGCUUUAGUGACUGAUGUGGUGCGGUUUUGNNNNNNNNNNNNNNNNNNGUUUUGUUUUUUUUUUGGGGGGGGGCCACACCUGUGGCAUAUGGAGGUUCCCAGGCUAGGGGUCUAAUUGGAGCUAUAGCUGCCAGCCACAGCCACAGCCACAGCCAUGCCAGAUCUAAGCCAGAUCUGUGACCUACACCACAGCUCAUGGCAAUGCCAGAUCCUUAACCCAUUGAGUGAAGCUAGGGAUCAGACCUACAACCUCAUGGUUCCUAGUCAGAUUCGUUUCUGCUGCGCCAUGACAGGAACACCUAGAGUUCUUUUUUUGGCCACUUCUUGUACCAUAACUGAGGUAGGUUGUAAUAAAAUCCAUACUUUUCCUUAAAAAUUUCAGAAUCUCUUGAUUGUAAAUGCUUGGGUAUAUUUUUAUAGGUGAACAAAUGCAAUUUAUUAUUAACUUCUAUCAAACAUUCCAACUCCAUCUAAUAUAUGAGAGAUUCUAAAUUACCAAGGAGCUGCACUAUAGAUUUAAUUAUCUUGCUGAAUCCUUACCACAAAUAAAUCAGCAUUGCAUUGUUUGAAAGCCCCCAAGACCACUCUCACUUCUGACACUAACUGCAAAUUUGAGGGUACCCAAGAUCCACCUCAGGUUCAAUAAUUUGCUAUGACCCGCGGAACUCACUAGAAGCUCUUAUACUCACAGUUAUAGUUUACUACAGUGAAAAGAUAGACAUUAAAAUCAGCAGAGACAAGAGGCACAUAGGCCAGUGUCAGGAGAGAUCUAAGCAUGACCUUCCAGUCUUCCCAGUGGAUUUGUGGACCCUGGUAGCUUCUCUUAGAAAUGCAUGAUAGAUACAUGAAGUAUUGCCAACUAUGACCCUUACCUGAGUUUUUGUGUCCAGAGUUUUUGUUGAGGUUGGUUGUAUAGUCAUGGUUAACUGUCUGUAUGGCUGACCUUAAUUCUCCAGCCCCUUCAGAGGUCAAACUAAUAUUGCAUGGUCCAAGACCUCCCACCAUAAGUCACGUGUUGCAUAGACCAUCUGGUGUUGUCUCCAGGUUCCCAAGUAAAUAAAGACACUCUUAUCAGGCAGGAUGUCCCAAGUAUCAGAAGUUACGUCACAGGAGCCAAGGGCAAAGGCUAGCUCCUUAGACAAGUUUAAUCCUUUACCACACAAGUAUGUAGAGUUAUAGAAUCGUAAUUUAAAAAACAGAAUGGGGGAUUCCUUCAAGCAGGCAGACAUCUGAUAGGGAUUUUCCUAUUGUCCUUGUAGCUCAUUGAUAUUUAGUGUAUGUAAGAACUAUUAUACACAAAAUUUUGCAUGCUGGACAUCCUGGAAUAUGUGAGGGAAUUUCAAGGGACUUUUUACUUUACAGCUUAACUUAUAAAAAUAUCUUGUCACUAUACCUAAUUCCCACCACAAUGAAAUACAUAAGCAGCUGCUGCUAUAAAGAAAUAAAAACAAAAGCAAACAAAAACACCCUAAAUAAAGAAAUUGUUUUUACAAAAGAAUAUAAUCUGGAAAUUGAACUUCUGCUACAGUUACAAUUUACAUUAUAGCCAUGAACAAGUUCCUGUUGUGGCUCAGCAGGUUAGGAACCCAACUAGUGUUCAUGAGGAUGCAGGUUUAAUCCCUGGCCUCACUCAGUGGAUUAAGGAGCUGGUGUUGCUAUGAGCUGUGGGGUCAAAUUGGAGCUGCAGCCACCAACCUAUGCCACUGCCAUAGUAACGCCCGAUCUGAGCCAUAUUUGUGACCAACACCACAGCUCACAGCAAUGUCAGAUCGCUGACCCACUGAGCAAGGCCAGGGAUUGAACCUGCAUCUUCACAGACACCGGUUCGGCUCAUUUCUGCUGAGCCACAGCAUGAAUUCCCUGUCCUUAUUCUUGAAUUAGACUUUAGUUAAGCAUGGAAUUCUAUGUCGACCAUAAUUGCCUUCAGCAUUUUCAAGAUAUUACCCCACUAUCUUGCACCUAUUGUUGUGGAUGAGAAGUCCAUUGCCAUCAUGAUUGUCUUGCCUUUAUAGGCAAGAAUCUCUUUUCUCUAUUUGCUAUUAAAGCUUUUUCUCUUUACACCUGAUGUUUUGUGGUUUCACUAUUACGUGUCCAUUUCAUUUCAUUUUUCUAGCACAAAAUUGUUUGUUCCUUCAACUUGAAGGCUCUCAUUUUUCUUCAAUCCUAGAAAAUUCUCAACCAUUUUCUAGAAUAAGGUCCUGCUGCAAGCGAUACAAAGAAACAAGCAAAGCCCAGAAAACCUCUAAGUUAGUGUGGCUUAUACAAGAUAGAAAUUUCUUUCUCACAUAAAUUAGGUCUUCCAGGUAGUGUCUGAUGAUGCCAGGGGUUCAGGGACUCUUCUAUUUUAUUGAUCCACUAUCCUCAGCAAGCACAUUCUCUACUCAAACUUAAACUAUAACAUCUGCAUUCCAGUUGCUAGGAAGGAAGAAGUACAGAGACGUGCCUACCUCCUCCUUAUAAAUACAUUUCUGGCAGUUGUAACUGCUGUUUUAGUUGCAUCUCAUACAUAGUCAUAUGGUCAAUCUAGAUACAUGGGAAGCUGGCAAAUACUGUCUUUAGUUGGGCAGCUGAAUUCCCAGCUAAAACUGGGUGAUUCUAUGAAUAAGGCAGAGGGGAAGAUCGGUUCCUGGGAACAACUAGUAGUCUCAAGCAUAGCCAUUUUUAUGAUUGCAAAUUUCUCUCACAUAUUCUCUAUUAUGUCUCUCUGAAACUCUUAGUAAUGUUCUAUUCUCUUUGCCUCUUUUUAAUGUUAUUUUUGUGUUACUUUCUGUGAGAGUUCUUCAGCUCUUAUUCCAAUUUACUGAUUUCCUUCCUUCCUUCCUUCCUUCCUUCCUUCCUUCCUUCCUUCCCUCCUUCCUUCCUUCCUUUCUUUCUUUCUUCACCAUGCCUGCAGCGUAUGGAAGUUUCCAGUCCAGGAAUUGAAUCUGAGCCAUAGCUGUGAUCUACGCUACAGCUGUGGCCAGAUCCUUUAACCCACUGCUCCAGGCAAGGGAUCAAACCUGUGACUCCAUAGCAACCCAAGCUGCUGCAGUCAAAUCCCAAACCUACUGUACCACAGCAGGAACUUCAAAUACCUUCUCUCUCUUUUUAUUUUUGGCUGUACCCACAGCACAUGGAAGUUUUAGGUUCAGUUUUUUUAGUAUAGUUUUUAUUCUCUUAUGUCUCAAAUCAUUCAAGAAUACUUACUUCAUAGUCUCUUUGCUCUGUAUCUGUAAUUCUUGGGGGAUAAAUUCUGCUAACUUCUUCCCAUAGAAGACAUAGAUAUAUAGAUACAGAUAUACAACAUAUACACACGUAUGUAUGUAGAUAUCUGUAUAUAUGUGUAUGUGUGUGUACGCACAUGUGUAUUUUUUUCAUCUCAUCUUGGGUAUUUCUAUGUUUCAUGGGUGUAGGAUUGUAAAGUUUAUGAUGGAGCAAUUUUGUUUUGUCUCUACCAGUGUCCUUCACGUUUCCCUGGUUCAAACCAGUUUUUCUGUUGCUACCUCAGUUUGAGUUUCCUGCACUGUUCAUGAAUACACAUUUGGCCCCUACUCUUGCGUAUAGCUCAGUUUGGGAGGUAUUUCAUGUGGGUGGUAAUCAGUCACUUUCUCCCCUAAUUCUCAGGCUAAUGGGAGGAUAUAGUCUAAAAUACUUUUCACAGCACAAAAGCUAUUCUGGAAUCCUGGUUCUAUGCUCAGCUCCAACUCCACUGCUCUUGGGAUCUCAAUUCCCCUUCCAGCUCAGCUCAGCUAUUAAAAUCCCAGGUCCUGGAGUUCCUGUAGCAGUUCAGUGGAAAUGAACCCAACUAGUAUCCACGAGGAUGCAGGUUCAAUUGUUCCAUCCCUGGCCUCAUUCAGUGGGUUAAUGAUCCGGUAUUGCUGAGAGCUGUGGUGUAGGUUGAAGUCAUGGCUCAGAUCAAGCACUGCUGUGGCUGUGGCAUAGGCUGGCCCCCAGCCUGGGAAUUUCCAUAUGCCAUAGUUCUAGCCCUUAAAAAAGAAAUUAAAAAAAAAAAAAAGGAAAAAAAAAA
rnacentral:lncRNA from 1 species